ACUCACACUCACACACACACACGCACACACACACUCUCCUGUAAGCUCCGCCCCUCCGGGAGACAGACCGGGAGACCCGCGGAUGAAUAAGUAACAUUCAUUCAAAGAAGCGACGGACGGACUCUUCCUCCUCCUCCUCCUCCUCCUCCUCCUCCUCCGCCGGGACUCGGAGCCUCGUCCGUCCGGUUCGGUGUCGCUCGGAUCCUCGUCGACCGACCGACAGUGUCUCGGGAGGACGUUCAGUCAGACACCAGCAGAAGUGUGUUGAAGAUUCAUCUGAAAUGACACCAUCCAUAACUCAGAGGCCAGUGACAGGAACCUGUUUGUGAACCCAUCUAACCGCUCUCUGUCUGUCAGAAGGUGAACGCUCCUUCCAGAUGCUCACACACACACACAACUACUCCGAUUACAGCUGGAAUCCCUGAACAGUCGACCAGGAGCUGCAGAUGAUUGACAGGCCGACGUGAACAGGGCCAAGGUUCAGCUGCAUCAUCGUGGUGAUGCACAAGAGGAAAUGGUCACUUUUGAGAGGCGGCAAACUAUAUUUGAAUGGAAUAAUUGCACGUUAGUUGUUUCAACUCAACUGCGUCACAUUCAACAGUUACUCUGCUGUUUUCACAACCUGAAGUUACAUAGUUACAAGGAGACAUUUUUUUUUCCACCCCUCGAUAUUGUGAAGCUGUAGGAGGGAAUGUUUUUGCAAGAAAGAAAAAUUGAUUUCAUCCAUCUAGCAAAUAGAUCUGAGGUCACACUGCAGUGAUGUCAUCGCUCCUCUUCUUCCUCCUCCUCCUCCUCCUCCUCCUCCUCAGCCCCGCCUCCUCCGCUCUGGAGUUCCGUUACCACAACAACCGCGAGAUCGAGCAGUACCUCGUCCAGGUCAACGCCUCCAACCCGGACAUCGCGCACCUGUACAGCAUCGGCCAGUCCGUCAGAGGUCAGCAGCUGUGGGUUCUGGCUCUGGGUCGGAGUCCUCGUCGUCACACCCUCGGCGUCCCCGAGUUCAAAUAUGUGGCCAACAUGCACGGCAACGAGGCGCUCGGCCGAGAGCUGCUGCUGCAGCUGAUCGACGACCUGGUGCGCGGUUACCGCGACAACGACACGCGGUCGCUGCGGCUGCUGAGCGGCGCCCGCCUCCACGUGCUCCCCACGAUGAACCCCGACGGCUUCGACGAGGCGAGCACCCACUGCCAGUUCAGCCAGGGCAGGUUCAACUAUAACGGCGUCGAUCUGAACAGGAACUUCCCCGACGCUUUCGCUGGUCUGCGAAGGCAACAGCAGCUGGACGAGGAGAAGAGGGAGGCAGAGGUCCGGGCUGUGAUUGGCUGGCUGAAGACGGAGACUUUCGUCCUCUCGGCAAACCUUCACGGAGGAGCCCUGGUGGCCAGUUACCCUUAUGACAACAGCAACGGGGGCAGCGAGCAGGUGGGCGGGGCCAGCGUCGCCCCCGACGACGACGUGUUCAUCCACCUGGCCAAGGUGUACUCCCACAGCCACGGCUCCAUGCACCGCGGCGACGGCUGCGACGACGGAGGAUCCUUCGUGGAGGGCAUCACCAACGGAUACCAGUGGUAUCCUCUGGCAGGUGGGAUGCAGGACUACAACUACGUGUGGGCUCAGUGUCUGGAGCUGACUCUGGAGUUGUCCUGCUGCAAGUUCCCUCCGGCCGCACAACUUCCUGCUCUGUGGACGGAGAACCGCAACGCUCUGCUGUCCUUCAUCCAGCAGGUCCACCUGGGGGUCAAAGGUCGUGUGUUCGACGGCUCUGGGUCGCCGGUGCAGAACGCCGUCGUGGAGGUCAAAGGUCGAAAGAACAUGUGCCCGUUCAGAACCGACCGACACGGAGAAUACUUCCGCCUGCUGUUGCCGGGCAACUACAGCUUCACCGUGACGUACCCGGGUCACGAGGUUCUGACGGAAACGCUCGACGUGCCGCACGGUCCCGACCGCUACUCCGCCAUGACGCACGACUUCCUGCUGCUGCGGACGCCGGAGAACUCCACCCAGGCUCCUCCCACCAAAGUCACGCCCACGCCCACCUGCAACUACACGUUGAGCCAGGAGGCGGCCGGCGGCGCCAUCGCCACCACCAGGCCCACGUGGGCGGUGCUGAGCGUGGGGCUCGGGUUUGUGGCGGCGCUCCGGUCCGUGGCCGACUGACGAGGCCCGGCGCUCGGGGAAGGUCGCGGGGUCAAACCCUCGGCAUGCUGGGAAACAAGUGACAAAAACACGGAGGUUUCUACAGAGACGUUUUGACGACAGCAUCGUCGCAGCGGAUAAAAUCAGAUUGGCAACGAAUUAGUGAGCGAGGCGGCGGCACAAAGUGUCAAAGUUCGUAACCGCGGGUUGAGCUGGACAAUGAGGAACAAAGUGAACAUUUUGACUCAACGAUGGUUGAAUUUAAUUUAGCUGCUUCGGUUUCAGGAAGCUGGUGUCGUUCAUGGAACAGCCGGGGGCGAGGUCCGAGGAACCUUUCGGUUCCGCUGGUUAUUUUGGUUCCGACUAAACUGGAAAGACAGAAAUUUUGGAGAUCCACGAAUUAUUCCCUGGAAAAUUGUUGAAAAUGAAAAUAUUUAUAUAAAAAAAAUUUUUUUAUAUCUCGCAACGUUAAAAGAAGUGAUUGAAAAAAUCCUGGAUCCGCCCCCUUUUGUCUGGAUACAGGAAGUAAUGGAUUAAUAUUUUCCUUCUUGGCACAUGUCCCAUCAUUCUAUUAAGUUUCGUGGAAUUCCAUACCGUCGUUUUUACAUAAUCCUUCUGACAAACAAACAAACAAACUUCCUCCUCCUCUUCCAAGAUGAUUAACACCAAAGUCACCAAAAUUGUAUUGAUUUUGUUUUUCUAAAGAGAAGUCUGGUUUGUUUUUCGUGUUUCCCUUUUUCGUGGACCCAAUCUGAACGUCUACGUCCACACGAUACGAACUUUGCAUUUAAGGGAAAACAACAACAACAACAACAGUCUCGCAGGAAUAAGAGACCUUUGGUUUAGUCGUCCUCCGGAGGCAGCUGGGACUUUAUUGAUCUGAAAGAGGUCACGGAGGGGAAAGCUCAUGGAGGUCGGAGGUCAGAGGAGGUCGACUGUAACUUUAUACGUGAGCAGGACUUAAGAUGAGUCUGUUUUUGGAAACGGGUCGAGUUCACACCGGAGAAGAAGGACGUCGCAGGAAUUCCUUCGACGCGAGCUAUGAAACGCCGCCACGCGCCCGAACUCACCGAGGGUGCGUUUGAUUUUCACCACGCCAGAGCGCCCGGUUCUCUCGGGACAGUCGAGUCCAGCGGAUCUCAGCCGGAGGCGCUGAGACAAAAUUAGUCACAUUUCUACGUCACUGAUUGUUUUCUUUCCUUUUUUCUUUACUAAUUUUAUUCUGAAAUACCAGAAAAGUUUGACAUGUUCAGGUCAGAGACACUGACGGUCACUGUGGAGAUUAACUUCAUAAUUUAAAAACAACAACAAAAAGCAAUGCACAACAACAGAGAAUGUUAUAAUAUCAAUAUUUCUACCGUAACAAAUUGACUUUUUUUUUUUUUUUACAAAUCACUUAAAAACACUUAAUUGUAACUUUAGAGAUUAAACACACGAGGACACACGUAUGUACAUUUACUAAAUGAACACAAUGACGAUAUAAUGAUAGUAAAUUUGUAGAAAUAUAACCUACAUUUACCUUAAUUAAAAGAAACUAAAAUGACUCAUUGGCACCACCUGGUGGCAGAAGCUGUGCAGCACAACCGGCGAAUAUUUUGUUUCCUGAAUAUUAAGGAAUUAAAGCACAAUUACAAAUCAACUCGUCAACAGAAAUACUCAAAAAGAAACGUGUCAUUUACAACCAGGUACAGCAAACGGAUCAGUCUGACGAGUGGGAAUCGAACCUGCGACGUCAGUCCGUGAGACGAGGCGACCGAAGUAUCUGUACACAAUAUAUACAUAUACGUAUAUACGUAUCCUGUACUGUAUCCUGCUUCGGAGCCGUAACCAAACAGCAGAGUCCUGAUUGAGCUGCGUCACAAACUCUGAGACCUUCUGCAGAAUUCUGCCAAAUAUCAGGUUCUUUUUUGUACUUUUCUACAGUUUUGUAUCGUUCGGAGGAAAAAAGACUCGGUGCCAUAAACAUCCAGACCUCACCAGAUUUCAUAUGAUUGAUGCUUCAUCACACUUUCAGUAGAUGGACACUGAGUGAAGGGAGGAAAUAAAAAGACGUCAGUCUCCUCGUCCUCUUUCUCUCAGUCGUUUCUUUCUCUCAGUCGUUUCUCCUCCAGGUCCAAUGAGCGAUGGGAUGUGGGAACUCAUCACCGAUGACGACGACGACGACCACCAGCAACGACUGCGACAGCACCGUAUUAGAAGGUCGAGCUGAGUCGCCAGAGAUGGUAUCAAAUGAAGACGAUGACGAGAAGCGAAAGAACUACGGAGGAGUGUACGUGGGUUUACCAACAGACCUGAGCAACAUGCCUCAUGUUCAGAUCGGAGCGUUACGAGAGAUGGAGGGAGACGCGUCGUCCCUAAGGAAGCCGCUGUGGGGGAACGGACUGUAGAGUUAAUGAAGAGCCACCAGUGACGGAUGCUUUCGGCUGAACGAUGAAGAGGAGGAGGAAGACUCCCCGCAGGCGUCCCCACGAAGAGGAGCAAGAGGAGGGGGCCUCCCCGCAGGCGUCCCGUCAUCACGAGUCCCCCGGUGGGAACCGGCAGCAGCAGGUGGAGCCUGGAAAAGCUGGGGACGGACUUUCAUGGAGGCGAGGGGCGAACCUGGAGCCUCGAACAAACAGAGAAUCUCAAACAGCUGAUUCAUCACCAUGACUGGAGAAUAUGGUGAUAACAGCUGUUGUUACGCUUCCUGUUGAGAGUUGAGCUGUCUGGUCCCUCGACAGGAAGACACAAGAUCAUUAGAAUCAGUUUAAGACAAAUUUCAAACAAAAACACAAUUUCACGGUAGAAAAAAAAAAUCUUUGACGUGUUAAAAAGUUUGAUUCCUUAUCCCUCAUGAAUGCAAUAAAAAAAAAGUAGUUUGAGAUCAAAUUA